UGGGAUCGCGUUCUUCUCCGUCCUGCAGCUGGUGCCUUUGCCGUGACCGGCUGAUGGCGGUCCGGAGCGAUGCUGAGCCCGGGCCCAGCCUCUCAGCACCGCCGUGGGCGCCGCACAGAUCUAGGGGAGCCUGACGGGACGUUGAGAACGUGGAGUAGGAGCAGUAUCCCACCAUGAGGGUGUCCUUUUCAAGUUCUGAGAACUGACUGCAAGGCUGCAGAUGGUGUUGGCAGCAGCAGAGGAGGCUGUAUUCCAGAGGAGUCUCCAGCCAUCCUGAAAGCAAACUUGCCAGUGAUGUCUGCCAGUUUUGUUCUGGAUGGGCACGUUUGGUAAUCCUGCGCACCACAGGAUCUUCUGCACCUUUUAAUAAACUCUUGCUUAUAAAACUGA